CCUAGUGACAAUACUGAAGGGGGUACACCUGAUCCCAUUUCGAACUCAGCAGUUAAGCCCUUCAAGGCCGAUGGUACUUACUGUUAACAGCGGUUGGGAGAGUAGGUAGUUGCUAGGG
rnacentral:rRNA from 1 species